ACCAGACACAAUUUAGGCUCCUGCUUGCAGGGGCGGGAAGGAGGGGAGGAGUGCCCGUGCCAGCGGCUCAGGCCUCAAGGGUGGGAGGACUCCUCUUCCAGCAGGAGGAUGACCAGGCCAUAGGACAUUUACCCUGGCAACUUCACAGAGCUUGCAGAUGCUCUCCUGAGCUGUGGUUGAUAUUUCUGUGUAUUAGUGUUUUACAUGCAUGCAUGCCUGUGCAUCACAUGUGUGCCUGGUAUCUGUAGAGGUCAGAAGCGGGCGUCAGAUCUCCUGGAACUGAAGUUAUCGAUGGUUGUGAGUGGCCAUGCGAGUUCUGGAAACCAAACCCCAGUCUUCUGGAAGGGCAGCAAGUGCUCUUAUCCUUGGAGGCAUCACCCUACCCUGUCAAGGGCUUUUCCCAUUGACAUCGCUCACUCACUGGUCUUAGUGAUGAAUACUUCUCAUGUUAAUCCAGUCUUACAUCGUUAGGGAAAACCCAACUGAUCUUUAGUUUGUCUUCAUCAUCAGGCACUGUUCUGUAUACGGAACAAAAUUCAUUCUGGAAACAAAAUUUGUCCUUGAAAUAAAAUACACAUUAUAUAUACAUCACAUCAACACUCCCUCCUCAGUUUCAAACUGUACAGUUCCAUUAUAUAUUCACAGUAUUGUGCAGCAAGUCUCUAGAGCUUUGUAAUUCUGCAAAAUAGAAACUCAGUUCUUACUUAAAUUACAUCUUCCCCAUUACCACCCCACAAUUCUACUUUCCCUCUACAAACUAGCUGUUCAGACACCCCAGUAAUCAUGAUUGUACAGCAUUUUUGAAUGUGUAUGAGUGUUUGCCUACAUGUAUGCAUGUGCAUUACAUACAUCUGGUGCCUACAGAGGCCAGAAUCCUCUGUUACUGGAUUUACAGGAGGUUGUGAAUUGCUGUGUGGGUGCUGAGACUCGAACCCCUGCUCUCUGGAGAGAAACCAGUGCUCUUAACUGCUGAGCCAUCCCUCCAGCCCAUACAGUAUUUUUUCACAACUGUAUUUCUCUGAGAAUACUGAUAUGUUUAUGGAAAGUGUACUCAGCUUAAUUUGUGGAUAUGCGUGCUGGAGAAAGAACCCAGGGCCUCUCACACGCUAGGCAAGUUUUUAAUACUGGGCUACACCCUCAGCCCCUAGGUUAACAUUUCAUUACUUUUUCUGUGUAUAUAUUUCU